UGGGGAAUUUUGGACAAUGGGCGAAAGCCUGAUCCAGCAAUGCCGCGUGUGUGAAGAAGGCCUUCGGGUUGUAAAGCACUUUUGUCCGGAAAGAAAUCCUUGGCUCUAAUACAGUCGGGGGAUGACGGUACCGGAAGAAUAAGCACCGGCUAACUACGUGCCAGCAGCCGCGGUAAUACGUAGGGUGCAAGCGUUAAUCGGAAUUACUGGGCGUAAAGCGUGCGCAGGCGGUUUGCUAAGACCGAUGUGAAAUCCCCGGGCUCAACCUGGGAACUGCAUUGGUGACUGGCAGGCUAGAGUAUGGCAGAGGGGGGUAGAAUUCCACGUGUAGCAGUGAAAUGCGUAGAGAUGUGGAGGAAUACCGAUGGCGAAGGCAGCCCCCUGGGCCAAUACUGACGCUCAUGCACGAAAGCGUGGGGGAGCAAACAGGAUUAGAUACCCUGGUAGUCCACGCCCUAAACGAUGUCAACUAGUUGUUGGGGAUUCAUUUCCUUAGUAACGUAGCUAACGCGUGAAGUUGACCGCCUGGGGAGUACGGUCGCAAGAUUAAAACUCAAAUGAAUUGACGGGGUCAUAGCUGUUUCC
rnacentral:rRNA from 1 species